GGAAACAGGUGCUAAUACCGGAUAAUAAAGCAGAUCGCAUGAUCAGCUUUUGAAAGGCGGCGUAAGCUGUCGCUAAGGGAUGGCCCCGCGGUGCAUUAGCUAGUUGGUAAGGUAACGGCUUACCAAGGCAAUGAUGCAUAGCCGAGUUGAGAGACUGAUCGGCCACAUUGGGACUGAGACACGGCCCAAACUCCUACGGGAGGCAGCAGUAGGGAAUCUUCCACAAUGGACGCAAGUCUGAUGGAGCAACGCCGCGUGAGUGAAGAAGGUUUUCGGAUCGUAAAGCUCUGUUGUUGGUGAAGAAGGAUAGAGGUAGUAACUGGCCUUUAUUUGACGGUAAUCAACCAGAAAGUCACGGCUAACUACGUGCCAGCAGCCGCGGUAAUACGUAGGUGGCAAGCGUUGUCCGGAUUUAUUGGGCGUAAAGCGAGCGCAGGCGGAAAAAUAAGUCUAAUGUGAAAGCCCUCGGCUUAACCGAGGAACUGCAUCGGAAACUGUUUUUCUUGAGUGCAGAAGAGGAGAGUGGAACUCCAUGUGUAGCGGUGGAAUGCGUAGAUAUAUGGAAGAACACCAGUGGCGAAGGCGGCUCUCUGGUCUGCAACUGACGCUGAGGCUCGAAAGCAUGGGUAGCGAACAGGAUUAGAUACCCUGGUAGUCCAUGCCGUAAACG
rnacentral:rRNA from 1 species